rnacentral:rRNA from 1 species
UACGUAGGUGGCAAGCGUUGUCCGGAUUUAUUGGGUUUAAAGGGCGCGUAGGCGGCGCCACAAGUCACUUGUGAAAACUCUGGGCUCAACCCAGAGCCUGCAGGCGAAACUGUGGUGCUGGAGUAUGGGAGAGGUGCGUGGAAUUCCCGGUGUAGCGGUGAAAUGCGUAGAUAUCGGAAGGAACACCAGUGGCGAAAGCGGCUUCCUGGUCCGACACCGACGUUCAGGCACGAAAGCGUGGGGAGCAAACAGG